GGCCAGGCAGAAGCAGCAUGGGUUUCCACUCACACGAUUUAUCUACUGCUAGUUAAAUCUCUGGAUUUAACUCUGAUGAAAGACCUGAGGCUGAAGGGGAACUUCAAUGUCAUAUAUUUUAAAGGUUGACUCACAGUUUGGAGCAAGAAUUAAAGAACCACGAACAUCAAGGCUGGAUGAAGUGGCUCAUGCCUGUAAUCCAAGCACUUUGACAGGCUGAGGCGGGCGGAUGGCUUGAGCCCAGGAGUCUGAGACCAGCCUGGAAAACAUAGAGAAACCCUGUCUCAAUAUAAGAAGAAGAAGAAAAAGAAAAAAAAAAAUCAAAAACGAAAACAACACAAAUUUUAGAGUGAUGUAAAAUUCUCAAACAAUGAGAUAGAUAAAAAGUACGCAGCCAAAAAAUGCAGGAAGAAGUGUUAUAGAGAUGGAGCAGGCCCUUCAUAAAAACACGAUGUUGGUUUUCUGGAUUUUGGAGGCCCCACAAAACCUGGAUCAGACUCGCCCACUGCCCUGUGUCUGCCCGACCAACCACCUCUCCUGCCCAGCAGGGAUGUGGGUGGCAGUGGUGCUGUGUGGAGGGUGGCGGGAGGACU
rnacentral:lncRNA from 1 species